rnacentral:rRNA from 1 species
GACGAACGCUGGCGGCGUGCUUAACACAUGCAAGUCGAACGCUGAAGCACCAGCUUGCUGGUGUGGAUGAGUGGCGAACGGGUGAGUAAUACGUGAGUAACCUGCCCUUGACUCUGGGAUAAGCCCGGGAAACUGGGUCUAAUACUGGAUGCUACAUGUCACCGCAUGGUGGUGUGUGGAAAGGGUUUACUGGUCUUGGAUGGGCUCACGGCCUAUCAGCUUGUUGGUGAGGUAAUGGCUCACCAAGGCGACGACGGGUAGCCGGCCUGAGAGGGUGACCGGCCACACUGGGACUGAGACACGGCCCAGACUCCUACGGGAGGCAGCAGUGGGGAAUAUUGCACAAUGGGCGAAAGCCUGAUGCAGCGACGCCGCGUGAGGGAUGACGGCCUUCGGGUUGUAAACCUCUUUCAGCAGGGAAGAAGCCUCAAGUGACGGUACCUGCAGAAGAAGCGCCGGCUAACUACGUG